AACGGGAGGCAGUAUGUUGGCUAGCAAGACCUUCUGUUCCGCGGGAGUCUGCACCCUUUCGUGGUGGGGUUGGUGGGCAGGGAGCCCCGGAGAGGCGGACGCCGAUUCGCUCUCCGCUGGGGCUGCGGCGGGUGGUCUGGCCUCAAGGGGAAGGGGGCCUUCUGUUCUGUUUGCCUCCAAGGCUCCUACCCGACUGUUAGCUCUGUUGGCUCGGAGACCAGGCCAAACAGACUCCAAAAAGAGCAGCACCUGUCCCCACAGAGGAAUUAGGGCCUCGCCUCACCUGAUGAUCAUAAAAUACCCAGCGGGACAGCCAGCUCAAUUCUCUGGAUGGAACGGUGUUGUGGAGAGUGGCUAACUGACCAGGAGAUGAGGACAGAGCCCCCUCACCUCCCCCCCCCCCCCCGCAGCCUUGGUGGCCAUCACCCCUGCCCCCCUCCCUCGAGAAUCCUGGUGCCUUCUCAGAGCCAGAGACGGUUUCACAGAAGACGCUGAAGUGGACGGAAACCCCCUUGGGGGGCAGCGGAAGCCACCCUGACAGUUGGCAGAAGGCCAAGGUGGUUUGUUGUCUGGUGGGGCGGGGCGGGGGGGGCGUCAGAGAAACACGGGGCGCCAGGCAGAUGUUUGGAUAAGACCCGUUGGCAGCGUGGAUGGAAUCUGAUUUCCGGUUGGAGCAGAUGUUCAGGAACGCAUGGACCCUGAAAAGCACACCCAGGAAGUCGGGGGCCAAGUCAGCAUUGACCAAGCGGCCCAUCCGCGUCCGUUGGCUCUGAAGCCUUUGUCACCAUCCGCUCGGAACUAGAAUGCUCUUUAUCUUCUCCCAGCCACGGACAGAGGGGUUCUGAACCGGUGGUUCUCAAAGUGGGGUUCCCAGACCAGCAGCAUCAGCUUCCCCUGGAAAUUUAGGAGACGUGCAGACCUGUCCCAUAAUCCUGAAUGUCCUCUAGGUGACUGAUGCCCACCGAGGCUCAAGACCUGCUACAGUAGCUUAAAGAAAGGGGGAAGAGCAACAGACAUCUCUUGAGUGCCUACUGUUUUCCCUCUGCUUCACCUGUGUUGUCCUGUUGAGGCCAUACAGUGUCGCAGAGGGGUGGGGAUUAUAUCGCCCUUUCACAGACAAGAAAGCUGACCAUCAGUUGAAAUAACUUCCCUGUGUGUCCAAGCCAGAAUUCAGACCCAGGGCUGAGCCUCCUUCUGUGACCUCUGCACCCUGUUGCUGGGUUCCUCUUGGCCCAAAAUCAAGCGUAGACAGCUGAACGUAUCUGUAACUUUUGGAUCACUCUCCCAGCAUCUCCUCCGCGUGUGCAGAUAACUGAGAGUCACCAUGAUGAACUUAGAACUGGAUAAAGUUCUAAGACAAACACCGGAGCCCUCUCCCCCACCCCGGGUUGAGAUGCUACCAGCUUGAGGCCGAGCAAGGGAAGUCCUUAUUUGGGAUAGAGACUUCCCUUUAUCAGGCCCUGAGGAAACAGGGCCCCGUGCUGUCCCUGCAUAUCAGGGAGCAAACCUCACUAGGGCCCGGCCCCUCCCACAUGGCAGAGAAAGAGAGCGGCUUCUGUUUCUUUUGAAUGAAAUAAAUGCACGAUACACGGAUAAGGCUUCCUGUGACAAUUUGAAAAUUUACGGAUAAAGCUGAAGCCCAUCCUCCCCCCUUGGUUUUCCCUCAAGCCACUUCCCUCUGCAGGAAGACAGCUUUCAUCAGCCUGACACUGUGGCCCCCCCUCCCCCCGCCGCUACGAGUUGGAUCCUGUUUGCGGA